UUGCCCACUGGAAAUGUCUGGACUUGAAUUAUGGUUAUGUAUGCAAGUAUUUCAUAGGCAUGUGUAUGGCCUUAUAUUUAUAGAUUAAUAAGUAGCAACUUUAAAGACAAAUUUGCCAGUAUCUAGUCAUUGUUCCUAGUUUCAUAAUUGUCUGACAGGGCAUAAUAAUGCAAAGUAAACGGCAUUGGGAUUUGGAUUCCUACUGGACUGUAACCUACAAAUAAGCUGCUAUUCUCUCCGUGCACUAACCUCUUGAUUCAUCCAAUAAAAAGGAAUUAAAUCGGAUGGCAGAUGCCAUCAUUUUUGUAUGGACAGGGGAAGAAGUUGAGAUAUUUAGCUAAUGGGUGAGAUAAUGAAAAUAAAAUCCAAGAAGAAUCAUUUGCCAUUAAGGCUCAUUGGAGGGGGGUAGGGAUGGAGUUUAGAACCAGAGGAUGAGAAAAUCGAAUUGGACUCUUUGAAGAGCUCAGAUUUCACUUACAGUCUCCCGAACAAGGAAAUCUAAGACUGGCCCGGGAUUGGAGUGGGGGUGGGAGUACUGUAUUUUAAAAAUACCCUGUGCCUGCAUUCAUAGGAACAAGAGGAUGGGAUGAAGGGUUUAGUAGUUAUUUGUAAAUGAAGAUUAAAUGCUGCUUAAAAAUCAUGACGUUUGCACGCUUCAGGCAGCAGUUUCCAGUGGAAGAUUGUGAGGGUCGGAAUCUUCAAACCGGUUAUCACCGGCCUUUUACAGAAACUUAUGGGACAGAAGAGCGGUUUGGGGUUAGUGAACCGACAAGUGUUUACUGAGGGCAAAGGGUGUGCGGCACUGGAUGAUUUCAGUUCACAUUUUGGACAACCAGGUCGGCUUUUGUGGAAGUUUCUUUCUUUUCUUAGAACCCUGAGCGUUUCCUUUGGGGAGGGAAGAUCGCAGUUUGUGACGUCACGGCUGAGGGAAGCGAGGACUCUACUCACCUCUGCCGCCCCAGACCCUGAAGUGGAGAGGGAGGGCAGCUGGGCUUGCAAUUCAGCCCCGUGCAAGCGAUCAUUUUCGCGGGCAAACACUUCCUUAAGCGUGCUUAAGGUUUCUUAUCCAGCGUCCCUAACGCUGCGGGUACCCAAAUAA
rnacentral:lncRNA from 1 species